rnacentral:rRNA from 1 species
AUUGAACGCUGGCGGCAUGCCUUACACAUGCGAGUCGAACGGUAACAGGUCUUCGGAUGCUGACGAGUGGCGAACGGGUGAGUAAUACAUCGGAACGUGCCUAGUAGUGGGGGAUAACUACUCGAAAGAGUGGCUAAUACCGCAUGAGAUCUACGGAUGAAAGCAGGGGAUCGCAAGACCUUGUGCUACUAGAGCGGCCGAUGGCAGAUUAGGGAGUUGGUGGGAUAAAAGCUUACCAAGCCGACGAUCUGUAGCUGGUCUGAGAGGACGAUCAGCCACACUGAGAAUGAGACAAGGCCCAGACUCCUAAGGGAGGCAGCAGUGGGGAAUUUUGGACAAUGGGCGCAAGCCUGAUCCAGCAAUGCCGCGUGCAGGAUGAAGGCCUUCGGGUUGUAAACUGCUUUUGUACGGAACGAAAAGCCCCGGGUUAAUACCCUGGGGUCAUGACGGUACCGUAAGAAUAAGCACCGGCUAACUACGUGCCAGCAGCCGCGGUAA